rnacentral:rRNA from 1 species
CUGGCUCAGAUUGAACGCUGGCGGCGUGCUUAACACAUGCAAGUCGCGCGUGAAAGGACUUCGGUCCGAGUAAAGCGGCGCACGGGUGAGUAACGCGUGGAUGAUCUACCCAUGAGUUAGGAAUAACGGCUGGAAACGGUCGCUAAUACCAAAUACGCUCCGAUUUCAACUUCGGGGGAAAGGUGGCCUCUGCUUGCAAGCUACUGCUCAUGGAUGAGUCCGCGUCCCAUUAGCUAGUUGGUGGGGUAACGGCCCACCAAGGCGACGAUGGGUAGCCGGUCUGAGAGGAUGACCGGCCACACUGGGACUGGAACACGGCCCAGACUCCUACGGGAGGCAGCAGUGGGGAAUAUUGCGCAAUGGGCGAAAGCCUGACGCAGCGACGCCGCGUGAGGGAAUGAAGGUCCUCGGAUCGUAAACCUCCGUCAGGAGGGAAGAACCGCCACGGUGCUAAUCAGCCGUGGUCUGACGGUACCUCCAAAGGAAGCACCGGCUAACUCCGUGCCAGCCGCAGC